rnacentral:rRNA from 1 species
GCAAGUCGAACGGUAACAGGAUAGCUUGCUAUCGCUGACGAGUGGCGGACGGGUGAGUAAUACUUAGGGAUCUGCCUCUGUGUGGGGGAUAACUAUUGGAAACGAUAGCUAAUACCGCAUAAUGUCUCCGGACCAAAGCGGGCUUCGGCUCUCGCGCAGAGAGGAACCUAAGCGAGAUUAGCUUGUUGGUGAGGUAAAGGCUCACCAAGGCGACGAUCUCUAGCUGUUCUGAGAGGAAGAUC